CGCCACCUUUCCUCCCCCGCCCGAUCAGCACCCGUGGGACCUCCCUGGAACCAUGUAGGCCAUGGAGCUUCCUCCUCCCACAGACUCCUCCAAUCUUCCCAGAGGAAUUCAGCCCAUUUCACAGAAGAACAAACCAAGGCACCAAGGGAAAAACACACACACAGACGGAGUUUCACCAUGUUGUCCAAGCUGGUCUUGAACUCCUGAGCUCACUCCAUCCUCCCUGCUCAUCCUCCCAAAGUGCUGGGAUUAUAGGCGUGAGCCACUGUACCUGGCCUGCUUCCCCCAUGAUUAACACCUUCCAUUGUUAAAUGAGUGUGAUGGAUUUGGGGAAGGAAGAACACAGAAGUGAAGCACCCAUCUCAUCACACCAUAUCAAAGGCACAAACUGUCAACAUGACUUACUCUGCUGGUGUUGACCUUGAUUUCCUGGCCGAAUGGCAUCUGUCAGGUGAAGACACAGCAAGAAGGCAGCUGUCUGCAAGCCAGGAAGACAGCCCUCACCUGAACCCAAGUUGGCCAGUAGCUUCACCUUGGACUCCCCAGCCUCCAGAACCAUGAGAAAGAAAUGUCAGAGCUGGGUGCAGUGGCUCAUACCUGUCAUCCAGCGUUUUGGGAGGUCAAGGUGGGAAGACUGCUUAAGCCUAGGAGUUCAAGACCAGCUUGGGAAACACAGCAAGACCCUGUCUACAAAAAAGUUGCCAGGCAGGCCGGGCGCGGUGGCUCAUGCUUGUAAUCCCAGCACUUUGGGAGGCCGAGGCGAGCGGAUCACGAGGUCAGGAGAUCGAGACCAUGGUGAAACCCCGUCUCUACUAAAAAUACAAAAAAAAAAAAAUUAGCCGGGCGUGGUGGCGGGCGCCUGUAGUCCCAGCUACUCGGAGAGGCUGAGGCAGGAGAAUGGCGUGAACCCGGGAGGUGGAGCUUGCAGUGAGCCGAGAUUGUGCCACUGCACUCCAGCCUGGGUGACAGAGCGAGACUCCAUCUCAAA